UGAAACUCUGAUGAUCCUUCAUUCAGAGAACCCACCAGGAGACCCUGAUGUUAUAGCCUCUUCUGUACACUGUGUCUGGCUUGUGGUGUCCUCUCGACAUGAUGAUAAAGAAAGAGAAGUUGACAGACCUGUGCUAAAUACAAAGAACAGACAAACCAGGGUCAGUAAGCAAAAAGAAUGAAUGAACUCCGUGGUAGACUGCUGUAUAUUUGGUGAUGCUUUCUUGGGAAGCACAAUGAGAAGACACCGGAGGUGAGGUCAGACUGUCAGACCCUUAUUUGUCCAACAAUGGGUAAAUCACAGUGCUGCAAGCAAGAUAAGCAUGGGAAUGAGAAGCAUCAUUAAUGCGCCACCCAAGAUGUUCUAUCCAAAUGUAGGACAGAGGAGAUCAGAUUUCAGCAAUUUGCCAACCUUGAGUUCUUUAAGAAAUCCCAAGUGCUCAACAGAGGCAAUGUCUCAAGUGACUGCUCUCUGUGGUGCUGUGCACCGUUACAUGUACAUGUGAACCGAAGUUCCUCUAUUUAUUUUCUGCCUUUAUUCUAUGGUGUCACAUGUCAGCAGCUAUCUUGUGACUGAAGAAACAUCUUCAGAUUUUGAGAGGGAUUUUCAAGGCGGAAAGAUUCAUCAAAUGAUUCAGCAAGACAUCUUCAUCCACACCAAAGUUUGAGGCUGUAUUCGGCAAUGAAGGCUUCAACUGAUGUGAAUGUGCUACCUGCUCCCGUCUAAACAGACUACGCUGAGGACUUCUGGUUAUUCCCCCCACCAAAAGAAAGUGUGGCAGGUGUUUGCUAAGAGGUUAUUUAAAAUAUAUUGCAAUCUAUGAUGUGAUUGCAUUUUUUAUUUUAUAGAGCAACCAGUCAGGGCAAAAAAAAUGAAUGGGUUUUCUGUUCAGAGACAACACCCUUGGGAUCACUGUGGCAAGAACUGUAUAAGUGCAAUAAAGGAUCAUCUCUGAAGAAAUUAUAUCUGAAAAGGUGAAGGAGUGAACAGGAAAAAUAAAGAGGCUGUCUGACUAAUCACCAGGCCCACGUCUACAGGGGUACAAAAGGAUGCUGAGCAAUCUCAUUUAAAAGUGUUUGUAUGUAAAAUAAUGACAGAUAAAAUGGAAGAGUAUUGUUUGCACCCCUUUGAAACUCGGAUGCACCCUGAGUCAGUUAGGUCCCACAC